AUGGGGGUGACCAUUGAUCGUUCGUUAGAGGGUACGCGGGGUCCUAACCUUUACAAGAUUUGUGGUCAGGUCCAUCACUGUAUUGGUUCUCUUUUGCCAGAAAAUGAGUCGCCUAAAUUCGCUAAGAUGUAUAUUUAUGACACUGCUAAUGAAGUGGACCAUAGGAUGAAUGCAGUCAAUGUAGAUGGUACUUCCUCAGGACAGUUAGGUCGUUCUAUUGUGGAGGGUUUAAAGGAUAUGCUUGACCAGAACAAUUCUUUGGUUAAGAAGUUUAGGAUGGCUAAAGAGAGGUUAGAGGAGCAUCCAGCUGAGCGUAUAGCUAUUAGGAUCAUUGCGCCUGGUGAAGGUGAUGGUCCACAGUAUAACCUGCCCACGGCUAAUGAGCUGGCGGCCCUGGUUGUUGGUGAUUUUACUUUAGACGCAUCUUCUCGAGAUAUCAUGAUACAUGAUAGGGUUGAAGGGCUGCAGCAAAUUAAUUCUUUGCAUCCAGCCUAUAUGCCAUUGCAGUAUCCGCUGUUGUUCCCGUAUGAUGAGAGAGGUUUCCAAAUUGAUGUUCCAUAUAAAGGAUUGCGGGCCGGGGAAAAAACCAGGGGUAAAGUUACUAUGCAGGACUAUUACUGUUAUGUGUGUCAUUAUCGCACGGAACAACCAAAUCCUUACUUAUGUUAUGGGUCUUUGUCUUCACAAAUUGUUGUUGACUGUCGUGCUUGCAUUGAUGAGCAGUGA
rnacentral:rRNA from 1 species